GAGAGGUAAAGUAAGCCAGUGUAGUUUCUGCAUCGCCUGUGAGUUUGAACUGAAUUUACCAGCUCAACGGGGAGCACAAGUCUUGUGCUGAAAGAUACAGCCAUCCCAUCCGUGGGCUUCCCAGUGAGAGCGAACAUUUUAGUUGUGGAGGCGUAGAAGAAGGCGAGUCGAGGCGGCCACACUCGGGGCCACGCUUCCCAGCAUCCCUCCCUGCUCCAUGUUCCCGCCUCGGCUUCCAAGAGCUCAGGCCCCCGGCUGUGUUGCCGUGACAACGGGAUGAGAAUGCAGAUUUGAGCAAAGGAGACUGUCUUGUAAACAUAACUCAACACUCCACCCAAACAACCUCGGAACGGUAACAGAUAGAGGCACACACCCGUGGCCCACUGAAAACAGCUCCACGACCCACUUUUGGGUCCCGAACCACCAGUUGAGAAUGCCUGAUCUAGACCACAUUACACGAGUUUGGAAACAACUGUACCGAGACUUCCCAAAUCUGGAUUGAUUAAUCUGCAGACC